rnacentral:sRNA from 2 species
UGAGCAAGUCAGCCUAAUCUAAGGUUAACAACCUGAGAGCGGAGGAACCAAUUUUUGGGGCGCAUUUCUGCUAUUUUUGUGAGGAGAUAGGCAGAGAAGGAUAACUCUCAUUCCUAGCCCGUCAGCUAACUUCGUAGGCAUCGAGAGGAGACUGA